CCUACGGGGGGCAGCAGUGGGGAAUAUUGGACAAUGGGGGGAACCCUGAUCCAGCCAUGCCGCGUGUGUGAAGAAGGCCCUCGGGUUGUAAAGCACUUUCAGUGAGGAAGAACGCCUGGUGGUUAAUACCCAUCAGGAAAGACAUCACUCAUAGAAGAAGCACCGGCUAACUCCGUGCCAGCAGCCGCGGUAAUACGGAGGGUGCGAGCGUUAAUCGGAAUUACUGGGCGUAAAGCGCGCGUAGGUGGCUUGAUAAGCCGGUUGUGAAAGCCCCGGGCUCAACCUGGGAACGGCAUCCGGAACUGUCAAGCUAGAGUGCAGGAGAGGAAGGUAGAAUUCCCGGUGUAGCGGUGAAAUGCGUAGAGAUCGGGAGGAAUACCAGUGGCGAAGGCGGCCUUCUGGACUGACACUGACACUGAGGUGCGAAAGCGUGGGUAGCAAACAGGAUUAGAUACCCUAGUAGUC
rnacentral:rRNA from 1 species